UACGUAGGGUGCAAGCGUUGUCCGGAUUUAUUGGGCGUAAAGAGCGUGUAGGCGGCUAUACAGGUCCGCUGUGAAAACUCGAGGCUCAACCUCGAGACGUCGGUGGAAACCGUAUGGCUAGAGUCCGGAAGAGGAGAGUGGAAUUCCUGGUGUAGCGGUGAAAUGCGCAGAUAUCAGGAAGAACACCCGUGGCGAAGGCGGCUCUCUGGGACGGUACUGACGCUGAGACGCGAAAGCGUGGGGAGCGAACAGG
rnacentral:rRNA from 1 species